GAGGCAAGCCAGUAAAGAACAUCCCUCCAUGGCCUCUGCAUCAGCUCCUGCUUCCUGACCUGCUUGAGUUCCAGUCCUGACUUCCUUGGUGAUGAACAGCAGUAUGGAAGUGUAAGCCGAAUAAACCCUUUCCUCCCCAACUUACUUCCUGGUCAUGAUGCUUGUGCAGGAAUAGAAACCCUGACUAAGACAAAUUGGUACCAGCAGAGUGGGGUAUUCCUGUGACAACCUGACCAUGUUUUGGGGAUGACUGUGGAAGGACUUUGGAACUUUGGGCUUGAAGAUCCAUCCGUUGUUAAGAGCUCUGUCGGAUGUUGUGUAGGAGCUCGGAAGAUAAUGUUGAGAACAGUGCAGAAUAUGGAGGCCUGGCUUGUGAAAUUUCAGAGGGAAGAUUAAAGACUCCUUUCAGGGCCAUUGCUACUUUUGAUUGUGAAGAUUCUGUAGUUCUGGUUAGCUGGGGCUGAAGAAUCAGCUGUGAUUAACAAGAUACCAGAACUACCAAAGCAAAAACUUUGCAUUACUGGGACUAUUGAUGCUGGUUAGCUGGAGCUAAGAAAUUGGCGGUGAUUAAGAAGAGACCAGCAUCAUUGAGGUGACAUCUUCUGGGAAGUGUUUUCUGAAAGCACAAAGAGGCUGUGUUCCAGAGAUGGCCAAGGUUGUACUCCUGCUGCAGCGGGACUUGGUAAUAUGUAAGGGUCACCCAGGUGGUACUGGUUUUGAAGGCAUGAAGGGGUCACGCAAAGCAGCUGAGGCUUGGUACUGUGAGAGGCCAUGGUAGGCCAUUGGUGAAGGUGCAGCCUCAGUUGCAAUUGAAGGCCCAGGACUGAAGAGGUCAUGCAGUGUUUUGGAGAUGCCAGUACCAUGAGAUGACCACCAAGAGCAGCAGCAGCAGUGGGGUACAGGUAUCUGGAGCCUAGAGGAUGAUGCGUGUGCUAGAAAGGGCAUGGCUGGAGAAGUGACCCAAGCCCUUGGAGGAGCCCAGAAGAUUGUGAGUUGGAUCCCAGACAUUGGACAGUUGGAGAUUGACUUUUGCUUUUGAUUGUGACUGUGCCCUGAUAUUUUCCCUCUUGAAGGAAGUAACUGUUUUAUUGGAGCCCACAGUUAAGAGACUUUUAAUUGUAAAAAGACUUUGGAUUUUAAAAGAGAUGGCUAUUUUAAAGAGAUUGAAAUUUUAAGAACAUGU
rnacentral:lncRNA from 1 species